rnacentral:lncRNA from 1 species
GCUCAUAGCCUACUUGUUUACUAUACCUGAGUAGUUUAUUUGUCCAUGUAGAUGGAUAGCAAAACAUGGUGCCCUUUCAAGAUGCGAAGAACAAUAGAUAGAGUAUUGCAUUGGGGGCAAUCGUGUAUUUUUACAAAAUACAUCUAUUACAGGCUUCAUGAGAUUUGGGCAGAAAGGAAGUUGUGCUCUUGAUGUGUUGGGCCUUAACAUACAGAGAACUGACCAAAAAACAUAAGGUAGAGCUACUUCAAGAGUUAUAUCUCGUACACCUAGUAAUUCACAGUCUAUGAAGUGUUAACAUUUAGUGGACCCAUAACUUAUCGUAGUAUUGAAGUCAUAGAGCACUUGUCACUAGAGAAAGUUCUAAUAUAUUAUAAAUUUCAAAGUUAAGAAUUCAGUCUCCGUUAGAGUGUUGUGUAGGAGUCAAAGAGAUUAAAAGGGCCACUUGAGAAUUGAAGAACUCUACGAAGUUCAAGAAUCCAUAUUGUUCCAAAAUUUUCAUGAGAUUUUGACAUCAUUUAUCUUCUUUUCCUGAUUAUAAGGUUCACAUGCAUCUAUUCACUUGUUAAUAUAAUCACCUAAUUACUUGUUAACAUCAGUCCAUUUGAUAUUUUAGCCAUGCGUCAUAAGUUCAAAUGUGUAGUUCCUACUUGGGAUUGCAUAUUCAAAAAAGUUCCACAUCAAGCUAGUGUAUAAGUAAAAAGAUAUAAAGGCAAGUCAUACCAUAUAGAAUUAUUUCACCUGAAAGUAUGUCGCAGGGAGGAACCUUACUUUUUAUUUUUGACUAUUUAAUAUGCUUCAGUUGUUUAAAUGUCGUGCAAGGCUUAUUCAUUUACAAAGAAAAUUUUGAAAACUUUUUUACAGAUAUGCUAGAGUCGACAUUAUUUUGAGCUACACCACCCAUUCGAGGACGAAUGAUCCAAAGGGG